rnacentral:rRNA from 1 species
AGAGUUUGAUUCUGGCUCAGAACGAACGCUGGCAGCGUGGAUUAGGCAUGCAAGUCGAACGAGAAUCUGUCCCGCCGCAAGGCGGGAUGGAGGAGAGUGGCGAAAGGGUGAGGAACGCGUGGGCAAUCUACCUUUGGGCUGGGGAUAACUCCGCGAAAGCGGGGCUAAUACCGAAUAUGAUGGUGGCGCUACGGCGCUGUUAAUCAAAGAUGGGGAACCGCAAGGUCCUGUCGCCUUAAGAGGAGCCCGCGUCCUAUCAGCUUGUUGGUGAGGUAACGGCUCACCAAGGCUUACGGGUAGCUGGUCUGAGAGGAUGGUCAGCCACACUGGGACUGAGACACUGCCCAGACUCCUACGGGAGGCUGCAGUCGAGGAUCAUUCGCAAUGGGCGAAAGCCUGACGAUGCGACGCUGCGUGGAGGAUGAAGGCCUUCGGGUUGUAAACUCCUGUCAUUCGGGAACAAUAUCCGGAGGGUUAAUACCCCUUCGGCGAGAUAGUACCGGAAGAGGAAGCCACGGCUAACUCUGUGCCAGCAGCCGCGGUAAUACAGAGGUGGCGAGCGUUGUUCGGAUUUACUGGGCGUAAAGGGCGCGUAGGCGGUUUCGUGUGUCGGAUGUGAAAUCUCACUGCUUAACGGUGAAACUGCAUUCGAAACUGCGGAACUAGAGUACAGAAGAGGAGAGCGGAAUUCUCGGUGUAGCAGUGAAAUGCGUUGAUAUCGAGAGGAACACCGGUGGCGAAGGCGGCUCUCUGGAAUGUUACUGACGCUGAGGCACGAAAGCUGGGGGAGCAAACAGGAUUAGAUACCCUGGUAGUCCCAGCCUUAAACGGUGCACACUUGGUGUGGGGAGAUUUGACCCUCUCCGUGCCGGAGCUAACGCAUUAAGUGUGCCGCCUGGGGAGUACGGUCGCAAGAUUAAAACUCAAAGAAAUUGACGGGGGCCCGCACAAGCGGAGGAGCAUGUGGCUUAAUUCGAUGCAACGCGAAGAACCUUACCAGGGCUUGACAUGCAACUGCACGUCCUGUGAAAGCAGGAUUCCUUCGAGGGUGUUGCACAGGUGCUGCAUGGCUGUCGUCAGUUCGUGCCGUGAGGUGUUGGGUUAAGUCCCGCAACGAACGCAACCCCUGUAUUUAGUUGCCACUCCCGAUGAUGAGUCGGGAAGCACUCUAAAUAGACUGCCCGUGAUAAGCGGGAGGAAGGUGGGGAUGACGUCAAGUCAGUAUGGCCUUUAUGCCCUGGGCUGCACACGUGCUACAAUGGCCGGUACAGAGAGAUGCUAAGCCGCGAGGUAGAGCC